CUGCAUGUAAACACUUUGUGUAGGGGCCCCUGUCUCCUGAUCAUCUGUUGUGCGCAUGAAGAAAAAAGACCCAUUUCUUAAAUGAAGGAGAGAAACCCACACAGUCACUACCCCACAAAGAGGAAGGAGGAGAGUUUAACUGGACUGUUGAUUUCAUAACACCAAGUGGUGCAAUGGGACGGACGUCUUUUCUGCUCUUGCUGAUCUCUCUGCUGAGCUACAGGACCAGCGGAGCCUCUCUGACUGUGAGUCCCAGCAGCUCUCAGCUGUUUGAAGGAG